GUCGUGAGAUGUUGGGUUAAGUCCCGCAACGAGCGCAACCCCUGUCCUAUGUUGCCAGCGUGAAAGACGGGGACUCAUAGGAGACUGCCGGUGACAAAUCGGAGGAAGGUGGGGAUGACGUCAAGUCAUCAUGCCCCUUAUGUCUUGGGCUACAAACGUGCUACAUUGGCCGGUACAAAGGGCUGCAAACCUGCGAGGGUGAGCGAAUCCCAAAAAGCCGGUCCCGGUUCGGAUUGGAGGCUGAAACUCGCCUCCAUGAAGGCGGAGUUGCUAGUAAUCGCGGAUCAGCAACGCCGCGGUGAAUAUGUUCCCGGGCCUUGUACACACCGCCCGUCACACCACGAAAGUUGGCAAUACCCGAAGCCGGUGGCCUAACCCGCAAGGGAGGGAGCCGUCGAAGGUAGGGUCGAUGAUUGGGGUGAAGUCGUAACAAGGUAGCCGUAGCGGAAGCUGCGGCUGGAUCACCUCCUUUCUAGGGAUUCCGGAGCUAUUACUCCGGGGGCGCUCGACCUGUUGAUGAUGGCUUCGGCCGUCCAGACCUCGAGCUCGCCUAGAAGUAUGUCGACCUCGACGAAAACAAUCGCUGCUGAGUUUUGAGAGACCGUCCUUUCGGGCGGUUUUCUCUGUCUAGGCGGGCGCGGCCCGCGUGCACCUUGAAAACUCCAUAGCGACACACAACGUGUUCUUUUCGAUCAAGAGAACAAGAGCACACGGUGGAUGCCUUGGCGCCAAGAGCCGAUGAAGGACGUGGGCGGCUGCGAUAAGCGCGGGGGAGGUGCUGACCAACCUUUGAUCCCGCGAUUU
rnacentral:sRNA from 1 species